UGGGGAAUAUUGGACAAUGGGCGAAAGCCUGAUCCAGCCAUGCCGCGUGUGUGAAGAAGGUCUUCGGAUUGUAAAGCACUUUAAGUUGGGAGGAAGGGCAGUAAGCGAAUACCUUGCUGUUUUGACGUUACCGACAGAAUAAGCACCGGCUAACUCUGUGCCAGCAGCCGCGGUAAUACAGAGGGUGCAAGCGUUAAUCGGAAUUACUGGGCGUAAAGCGCGCGUAGGUGGUUCGUUAAGUUGAAUGUGAAAGCCCCGGGCUCAACCUGGGAACUGCAUCCAAAACUGGCGAGCUAGAGUAGGGCAGAGGGUGGUGGAAUUUCCUGUGUAGCGGUGAAAUGCGUAGAUAUAGGAAGGAACACCAGUGGCGAAGGCGACCACCUGGGCUAAUACUGACACUGAGGUGCGAAAGCGUGGGGAGCAAACAGG
rnacentral:rRNA from 1 species